rnacentral:rRNA from 1 species
AUUGAACGCUGGCGGCAUGCUUUACACAUGCACGUCGAACGAGUGGCGAACGGGUGAGUAACGCCUCGGAAAGUGCCUGAUAGUGGGGGAUAACUGCCCGAAACGACAGCUAAUACCGCAUACUAUUCGAUCUGCCGAUGUCGGAUUAGCUGGUUGGCGGGGUAAAGGCCCACCAAGGCGAAGAUCCCUAGCGGGUCUGAGAGGAUGACCAGCCACACGGGGAAUGAGACACGGUCCAGACUCCUACGGGAGGCAGCAGUGGGGAAUUUUGGACAAUGGGCGCAAGCCUGAUGCAGCCAUGCCGCGUGUCUGAAGAAGGCCUUCGGGUUGUAAAGGACUUUGGUCGGGGAAGCGUUACCCGAAGAAUAAGCACCGGCUAACUACGUGCCAGCAGCCGCGGUAAUAC